rnacentral:rRNA from 1 species
AUUGAGUUUGAUGAUGGCUCUGACUGAAUGCUAUCCAAGUGCUUAACACAUGCUAAUCGAACGUCAUUAAAUAAAAAUAAUGAAGUGGUAAACAGGUGAGUAAUUAAUAUUUUGACUACCUUAAAGAAAGGCUAAAUUCCUUAUAUAAAAAGAAAAAAAAAUUUUCGCUUUAAAAUGUUAAUAAUAUUUCGGUUUGUAUUAUUAGUUAAAAUGAUAAUUAACUAACAAAACCGUAGUCGUAACUGAGAGGUUGAUCGACCACAUUAGGAAUGAGAAACACCUAAUGCGUUUAUAGUACAGCAGUGGGGAAUAUUGGUCAAUGACCUAACGGUUGAACCAGCAACUUGGAAGAAUGAAAAAUGUAUUAAUUACUAUUAAUACAGUUAACGACACGAUCGUCUAAAGUUCUAAAUAGAUUAAAGAUAAUGACAAUUAUCUAUUUAUUAGUCUUGACCAAUACUACGUGCCAGCAGUCGCGGUAAUACGUAAGAGACAAGUGUAAGUCAUCUUAAUUAGGUUUAAAGUGUACAUAGACGGAAAAUUAAACCUUAAAAGGGUACUUUUUUUCUAGAGUUUUAUAUGAGAAAAAAUGAAUCUUUGAAGAAGAGAUUUAAUUCGCAAAUAACAAAGAGACAGAUAAUAGUUAAUACGACUUUCCUUGUAAAAACUGACGUUGAGGUACGAAGGCUUGGGUAACGAGCAGGAUUAGAUACCCUAGUAGUCCAAGCAGACAACUAUGAAUGUCAUAAUCUAAAAAAAAUUUUUUUAGCUUAUAAAUAAAAGUGUAAGCAUUCCACCUCAAGAGUACAAUGGCAACAUUUAAACUGAAAUCAUUAGGCCGUCUCUGAAACCAGUAGUGAAGUAUGUUAUUUAAUUCGAUGACCCGCGACGAAUCUUACCACAAUUUGAAUAAUAUUUAAUUAUAUUACAUGCGUUGCACGGCUGUCUUUAGUUAAUGUCGUGAGAUUAGGUUAAUUCCUACAAUUAGCGAAAACCUUGGUAUUAUUUAUGAGUAUAAUAUACCCUUGCCACUAGAUCGGACUAUAUAUAUAGGAUCAAGACAAGUCAUCAUGGCCAAAAUAUUGUGGGCUAUAGACGUGCCACACUUAUCUUAACAAAAGGAUGUUAAAAUGUGAAAAUGAGCUAAUCCAUAAAAUAGAUUAAUAUGGAUUGUAGUCUGAAACUCGACUACAUAAAUAAGGAAUUACUAGUAAUCGUUAAUCACCACGUAACGGUGAAUCGUUUCUCAGUUAGGUACUAACCACUCGUCAGGCGCCGAAAGAAGAAUUGCAAAAAGUUUGAUUUAUGUAUAUAAAAAUAUAUAAAAUUUGUUAUAUAAUAUAUACAUACUAUUUUCGAAUGUAUGACUUUAAUUGGUGUUAAGUCGAAAUAAGGUUCGUGUAAUGGAAAUUGCACGGGGUUAAUAA